GUCACUUUUUAGCAAGAUGACCACGCGGUCGCCUCGUCGGCUAACACGAGCUUUCGACGAAAUACAAAUAGCAGAACUUCUUAAUAAUUCGGAGUUCGAAGACUCAGAUGAUGAAGAUGUGCCUGACCUGACCUCCCUGACCUAACCUAAACCUGUCCUCGGAAUCUGAAGGUGGAGAAAUAGAAAUCGCUGUAAGUGGAAGUGGAUCUACUCGUCGUACUCAAAGUGCUCGUGACCAACGAGUUGGACGUGGCCGUGGCAGAAGUACAAGUACAAGGGCACGACAUACCGGGUAUAG